UUUCUCAUUGGCUAGUGGAUCAUAUUUUUUGUGUGCGGCAAUAACGGUUCAAAUGAGACAUCUAAUUUUUUUGGGGUGUUUUUAAUAUGCGUGUAGGGGUUUAUGCUCUAUUGAUGGUGGUUUUCUUUUCUUAAAUUUUAGCAUGGUUCUUUUGGAAGUAGUUAUAGUUUUUUUAGACUCUGUCUUGUUUUGAAUCUAUCAUGUAAGAAAAAUCUACCAUUUGGGACUUUCUUAGGCUAUCCACGUCAGCAACUCUUCUAUGGUUGAUCCACAUCAGCAACUUCACCCAUUCUGUUGUUCAAUUUAUUCUUCAAUUCACCUAUUCUGUUCUUCAAUUUAUUCUUCAAUUCUUUCACGUUAAACUUCCAGCGGUUACGUCCCCUCAUUGUCUCCACGGUUACGAAAUUAAUUUAUCAUUCAGCAACCACUUCCAAUCUUCUUCUUCUACAGCGGUUUCGCAAAACCGUUUCUCUUUCAAAUGCUAUUCUCUCCCUUUUCCCAUUAUCAAUCGCAUCGCCUUCAUAAUCAUACAUUCUCAAUCAAAUUUGUUUUCUGAAUUCUUCAAUAUUCAUGAAAUUACCUGCGCAAUUUCAUUUUCUUAAUCGCGAUCGACGAUUUUUCGUUGUUUGUUCGUGUUUUCAUUCUACGCCAUUCCGAGUUCGUCUUCCAUUUGACUUCUCAUGUUCAAUGGAGGUUACCAAAUUGAAGGCGGUUUCAACAAUUUUUUUACUCUCCAUAUUCCAUUCAAUUGCAUGAACCAUAAUUUCCCCAAAUUCUAACCCUCUUCUUCUUCAAUCGAUCCAUUCUCUGUUUUUUUUUUCAAAUGCCGCAAAAAAUCAUCUAUUCUCCUCCAUAGCAAAACAAAUCGGCUUCCUCUAAUUGCUUAUGUGAAAAAGUCACAGAAAAAAUGGAUUGCAGCACGCGGCGGCGGGGACGGGCAUAGUUUUUGGCGACGGGCUAAUUCUCCAGGAGGAGCUGAACUCUUGCCGAUGACGGCCUUGCCUUCGUUGAAUGUUUCUUCUAAGCCGAAGAUGAAAGCAAUUGGAGAUAUUGUUGAAACGUCAAAAUCGUCUUCAUCAGAUAUGGAGAUUGAGAUAACAAUGCUUCUAUAUGGUUUUAUGUGUCUGUUACAGCCACAAUAUUCUUAUGUUGAUGGAGAUAGAUCAGCUCCUGCUGAAUCUGCCAAGAAUCCUUCAAUUUCGCUUCAACAAGUUGGGGCUGCUGGGCCAAUCUUGCUCGAUUUUGCACCUCCUUCCACUCCAUCAUACUCCAGCUCAUCCAAGAUGAGCUCAUUGCCAAUGCUGCUUACAUUGGCUCUCCUGGGAAAGGUAUCCUUGCUGCUGAUGAAUCUACGGGCACAAUCGGCAAGCGAUUCGCCAACAUCAGCGUGGAGAAUACCGAAGGAAACAGGCGCACUCUUCGCGAACUAUUAUUCACUGCCCCUGGCUGUUUAGAGUGCCUCAGUGGUGUUAUCAUGUUUGAGGAAACACUAUACCAAAAAACUGCUGCAGGAGAACUCUUUACUGAUGUGUUGAAGAAAGCUGGAGUUCUUCCUGGUAUCAAGAUGAGCUUUUCCAGUUUGGUUAGAGCAAUAAUUUGAGAAUGGAGAUAUGGAUUCUUGAGUAAGAGACAGGAGAUACGCAUUUCAAAGGCUAUUUUCAGAUGAGUUUUUCAAGUUUAUGGCUUUAGCAAGUUUAUUUUAGCAGUCUCACUAACCAGUUAAAUCCAGGUAUUAAUCUCAUCCUACAACUUCUAAAUGAAAAUCAUGCUUCAGAAAAUGCAAUGCCAGAUGUAAUUGAAGCUUCUCCUAUUGAUUCAACUUUUAUUGAGGAUGAAAAAGUAGAAAAUGAUGAUAGUAGUAGAGGAAAUAAUGCUUGCAGCUCGGAACUUUUAAGCCACGCAGCUGGUGUUGGACCUGAUGACAACUUAGUGACAUCAUUUCCAGUUCUCAGGGAUUGUAUUUCAUAUGAAAAUGUUUAAGAACAUUCAGAUAUUGCAAGGAGUGUCUCAAAUACAGAAACGUCACUACCAGAGUCAUCAUGUCAUGAGAAUCUUGAUGUGCAGAGUUAUGACGCUAAUGAAUUGAAUGCUUCGGCGAUUGCCAACUGUUCUACAAUCACAGAAUCAGAAAUUGAAAGGGAGGAAACUGAUCUGGAAUCAAAACGUGCCAUCGAUGACUUACAGGACACUCUGCUCGAACUCAGUAGAUACAAAUAACAGAUCAAGAAAACAAGGUCUGGUCCUACUCUCGAAGCUAUUAAAUCUAGAGCCAUGCGAGUUCUUAAACAAAAGAGAAUAUAAUCAAGACAGCAACCAGUGGAGGCAUGGCAUAAUGGAGCUCUUUAUGGUCAACUGUAUCAUUUUUUCUUUCUUAGUCCUAUAGAAAAUAUGAAUAUACUUUUCUACAUGUACUUGAAUAAUACCCGGUUCAUUGUUUAAGUUUUGGAUCUGUAUGAACCUGUUCCUUUAGGUAGCAAAGCGUCCCAUUGGUGUCGAAUUUGUCGAUGGAUGAAGGAGAGCGAAAUGAGUUUGCAUUGUUUCUUUCAGGGAUACCAUUGUCGCCUUCUGGUGGUAAACCGCCGCUUAGAUUUACUGGGAGAGACGGUGUGAAUCCACAAUUAGGUGAUACAGAUUCGUUUAGAGCAGCGGUUGAGGUGGAGGAGAAACCAUGUGGACAUCACAGGUUUGAUAGCGCCGAUGCUGUUAUUAGUGUGGUUUUUUAAAUGUUUAUCAGUGUGGUUUUUCUUUUUGUUAAGGCACAAUUUUUGGUUAAGAGAAAAGAUAAUUGUGCAAUAGCAUCACAUGGUGCUAGAUUUCUAUUUCUUGGAUAUGUUGCCAAGAUGUGAUUUUAUGAUCAUAAGAGUUUCCUUUGUUUCUUUUCGUUCCUUUACUGACCAAAUGCAUAAAGUUGGAUUGUUGUCAAUGAGUUUUUUCUUUUGUAUGUUUUUUUAUCAUUGAUGUCAAACAAAAUCUUGAG